AUCAGACGUGGAGUGUACAACAGCUGAACUCACAGAAACAGAGACUAAAAUGGUGGUUACUGGAGGCUGGGGGGAGGGGGACCUGGCGAGAUGCGGGUCAAAGGACACACAAUUCCAGUUAGGCAGGAGGGUAAGUUCCAGAGGCCUACUGCGGAUCAUGCUGACUAAGGUUAAUAACAAUAGAGUGCACAUUUGAAAACUGCGAAGUAGAUUUUUUUUUUUUGAGACAGGAGUCUUGCUCUGUCACCCAGCUGGAGUGCAAUGGCAUUGAUCUUGGCUCACUGCAACCUCCGCCUCCUGGGUUCAAGCGAUUCUCCCUGCCUCAGCCUCCUGAGUAGCUGAGGUAGGAGAAUCACUUGAACCCAGGAGGCAGAGGUUGUCGGGAGCUGAGAUCGCGC
rnacentral:lncRNA from 1 species